GUGCACCAGUCGCGAAAACUCCGCAAUACGCGAAAGCGUGACGGGGCCAUCCCGAGUGCCGUCCGCUUAGGAUGGCUUUUCUCUAGUGUAAAUAGCUGGGGGAAUAAGGAGAGGGCAAGUCUGGUGUCAGCCGCCGCGGUAAUACCAGCUCUUCGAGUGGUAGGGAUGUUUAUUGGGCCUGAAGCAUCCGUAGCCGGCUGGGCAAGUCCUCCGUUAAAUCCAGCGAUUCAAUCGUUGGAUUGCGAGGGAUACCGUUCGGCUAGGGAGCGAGAGAGGCCAGCGGUAUUCCCGGGGUAGGGGUGAAAUCCUAUAAUCCCGGGAAGACCACCAGUGGCGAAGGCGGUUGGCUAGAAC
rnacentral:rRNA from 1 species